UGGAGAUCUCCUGGUCCGUACUCUCCCAUCUCUGUGUGAGGUCUGCUGGUCCUGCUUUCCCAUCUCUGGGUUGUAAGUAACCUCAUGUUAACCCAGAAAACACCCAACAUCUUUAAUGACCAAUCCUGCCAACACUUGGGAUCAAAUAGGCACCUUCUCCAAAUGGAGAGAGGUGGUCCUGGGGAUCAAAGCCCAGGGUCCACUCAAAGGUCCAGGCAGGAGCAAAUGGAGAUGAGGCUGCAGACAAGACUGUCACCAGCUGAGGAUGGUGUUGAUGUCCAUGGGCUGAGCUGCAAUGGGGUCCUGGGACACAGAUGCCUGGCUGGAGCCAAAGGUGACCUCUCACUGCUUUCAAGCAGGAUCCAUCCUCUGGCUGAGUGGCUGGGCUGGGGUGGCCAGCAGAGCAGCAUGUGCUCCUCCUGGCUCAGCAGCAAGUAAGACAAUCCUGGGACACUGCAGAAGAUAUAAGGAGAAGAUCAGCAAAAGACCCACUGUGGGUCUGAAAAGCAGCUGUGCCUACAGCUCUCCAGUGGUGGGAUAUCUGAACUGCCUCAAGAUGAGCAGGGAAUUGAACCAAGGACUCCUACAAUCUGUUUUCCCUGAUGCUUCUCAAGUGAAAACACAAUGUUACUCCCCAGAAAUGGCAGAGACGGGUCCUGUAAAAAGUAGGAGGAUCAGUACUGUGCCAGCAGCAGGACUCUUCAGCCCAUUGACAGUAACUGCUCUGCAAGGUGGAUGAAUGAUGAUCUCAUUGUGAGCCUAUCUGAUGUUUUCCUAAAAAGCACAAUAAAGUGACUUUCCCAAGGUGUUGAGGAAAAUCUGUGGCAUGGGGGCAUUAAGGGCUCCAUUUUGGGGUGAAAUUUUGCAUCAGCCUCUAGUUUGCUUGAAACCUCAUCAAAAAUCGUGCAGUGCUCUGGUAUAGCACUGCAUGGAGUUAUACUGGCACAACAACAGGCUGAAAAUUCUCUCAUGGGCUUUAUUCAUCUCAACAUUUGCCUUUCAACCCAACCUAGUCAUGUAUGAUCCUGCCAUGACCAGUAGGGAUGGAUACCUCCAGAUGGAAAAUCAUCCUCUCCCAAGGGAAACAUCUAAGCCAC
rnacentral:lncRNA from 1 species